AUAUUAGAGUUGUUGCAGUUAAAAAGCUCGUAGUUGAAUUUCGGGAUCAAGUCGUCGGUCGUGCUCAGGUACGUACUGGCGUCAUUGAUUUCUCCCUUCUGACGAACCAUGAUGUCAUUAAUUUGGUGUUAUGGGAAAUCAGGACUGUUACUUUGAAAAAAUUAGAGUGUUUAAAGCAGGCUCACGCUUGAAUACAUUAGCAUGGAAUAAUGAAAUAGGACGUUCGAUCCUAUUUUGUUGGUUUUAGGAUCAACGUAAUGAUUAAUAGGGAUAGUUGGGGGCAUUAGUAUUCAAUUGUCAGAGGUGAAAUUCUUGGAUUUAUUGAAGACUAACUACUGCGAAAGCAUUUGCCAAGGAUGUUUUCAUUAAUCAAGAACGAAAGUUAGGGGAUCGAAGACGAUCAGAUACCGUCGUAGUCUUAACCAUAAACUAUGCCGACUAGGGAUCGGAUGAUGUUAAUUUUUUAAUGACUCAUUCGGCGCCUUACGGG
rnacentral:rRNA from 1 species